UACAGAGGGGGCAAGCGUUAUUCGGAAUUAUUGGGCGUAAAGGGCGCGUAGGCGGCUUGGCAAGUGGAUGGUGAAAUCCCUCGGCUUAACCGAGGAACUGCCGUCCAAACUGCUUCGCUUGAGACCGGGAGAGGUGAGUGGAAUUCCCAGUGUAGCGGUGAAAUGCGUAGAUAUUGGGAGGAACACCAGUGGCGAAGGCGGCUGACUGGACACAUAUUGACGCUGAGGCUCGAAAGCAUGGGGAGCAAACAGG
rnacentral:rRNA from 1 species